rnacentral:rRNA from 1 species
AACGAACGCUGGCGGCAGGCUUAACACAUGCAAGUCGAGCGCCCCGCCAGGGGAGCGGCAGACGGGUGAGUAACGCGAGGGGACGUACACAUUGGAGCGGACCAACUCCGGGAAACGGGUGACAACACGGGACAAGCGCUAAUGCGGAAAGAUUGAUCGCCGAAAGAUGGGCGCGCGUGUGAUUAGCUAGUGGGUGAGGUAAAGGCGCACCAAGGCGGCGAUCAGUGGCUGGUCUGAGAGGAUGAUCAGCCGCACUGGGACUGAGACACGGCCCAGACUCCUACGGGGGGGAGCGGUGGGGAAUAUUGGGCGAUGGGCGCAAGCCUGAUCCAGCCAUGCCGGGGGAGUGAUGAAGGCCUUAGGGUUGUAAAGCUCUUUUGUCCGGGAAGAUAAUGACGGUACCGGAAGAAUAAGCCCCGGCUAACUUCGUG